UGCCGACACGAGAAAACGAACAUCAGGAUGAUGGCGUUUCUUACCAGGGACACGUCAGGAUGACGCCGCAGGAAGGCUUCAGGAUGAAGCAAAGUGGAUCACGCAGGAUGCGUAAGGGACACCUCCAGGAAGGAGAACGAGAGCCGGUCAGGAUGGUCGGUGGGUCAGGAUGGCCAGGACGUUUCAGGAUGAGACCUACACAUCA
rnacentral:other from 1 species